rnacentral:rRNA from 1 species
UACGGAGGGUGCAAACGUUGUUCGGAAUUACUGGGCGUAAAGCGCGUGUAGGCGGCUUGGCAAGUCAGAUGUGAAAUCCCUCGGCUCAACCGAGGAAGUGCAUUUGAAACUGCCAGGAUAGAGUACGGGAGAGGGUUGUGGAAUUCCCGGUGUAGAGGUGAAAUUCGUAGAUAUCGGGAGGAACAUCGGUGGCGAAGGCGGCAACCUGGACCGAUACUGACGCUGAGACGCGAAAGCGUGGGGAG